UGGUAUGAUGGCUUAACGAGAAAUCUACUUUUUUUAUCACACAAUUAGAAUUUAUUUUUUCAGUGAAAAAACUGAAAUUAUCCUGAAAGACGAGAAGACCCUAUAGAGUUUUAUACAUUAAGUAACUUUUUUAUACUGGAUUUUUAUUAAUAAAGUUAUGGCUUGUAAUUUGUUGGGGCGACAUUAAGAUAAAAAAAACUCUUUUUUAUGAAAAUUUUUAUAGAAAUAUGGCUUGAUCCUUUAAAAAAGAUAAUAAGAAAAAAUUACCUUAGGGAUAACAGCGUAAUCUUUUUUGAGAGUUCUUAUCGACAAAAAGGUUUGCGACCUCGAUGUUGGACUAAAAUUUAGAUGUAAUGCAGCAGUUACAUUUUAGGGUCUGUUCGACCCGUAUUAUUUUACAUGAUCUGAGUUCAGACCGGCGUGAGCCAGGUUGGU
rnacentral:rRNA from 1 species